UACGGGGGGGGUAAGCGUUGUUCGGAAUUACUGGGCGUAAAGGGCGCGUAGGCGGCCUUCUAAGUCAGACGUGAAAUCCCUCGGCUUAACCGGGGAACUGCGUCUGAUACUGGAUGGCUUGAGUUCGGGAGAGGGAUGCGGAAUUCCAGGUGUAGCGGUGAAAUGCGUAGAUAUCUGGAGGAACACCGGUGGCGAAGGCGGCAUCCUGGACCGACACUGACACUGAGGAGCGAAAGCCAGGGGAGCAAACGGG
rnacentral:rRNA from 1 species